rnacentral:rRNA from 1 species
CCUACGGGGGGCAGCAGUGAGGAAUAUUGGUCAAUGGGCGUAAGCCUGAACCAGCCAAGUCGCGUGAGGGAUGAAGGUUCUAUGGAUCGUAAACCUCUUUUAUAAGGGAAUAAAGUGUGGGACGUGUCCUGUUUUGUAUGUACCUUAUGAAUAAGGAUCGGCUAACUCCGUGCCAGCAGCCGCGGUAAUACGGAGGAUCCGAGCGUUAUCCGGAUUUAUUGGGUUUAACGGGUGCGUAGGCGGCCUGUUAAGUCAGCGGUGAAAGUCUGUGGCUCAACCAUCGAAUUGCCGUUGAAACUGGGAGGCUUGAGUAUGUUUGAGGCAGGCGGAAUGCGUGGUGUAGCGGUGAAAUGCUUAGAUAUCACGCAGAACCCCGAUUGCGAAGGCAGCCUGCCAAGCCAUGACUGACGCUGAUGCACGAAAGCGUGGGGAUCAAACAGGAUUAGAUACCCUAGUAGUC